rnacentral:misc_RNA from 1 species
CGCGGAUGAGCACAAAUGCGCUACGAACGGCGCCGAAAGCGGAUUGGGUUGUCAGACGUAUUAAAACGAUAAUAUAUUACGCGCGGGGUUAUAGUGUAAUACAGAACGCGGCACAAAUGCCGCUUGCAAAUUAUAUACAUACGUGAUCAAAUAAUUAAGUGAAUAAUUAUUGACAGAAAACAAAAGCGACAGUGUAUGUAUAUCGAUAGUGUAUACGACAAGUGGUAUUAUCGUGAUUGGUGUGUAGUAGGAAACAACGCAGAGGACAUCGAGAAAGAGCUGGACCAAACCUUGUAGAUUUUUACAUCUAUCUCUUUCUUUAUUUCUCUCUUUCUCUUUCUCUACUUUAUUAACACGAAGUUCUAGAAAUCCAAAUCAAAAAUGGGUUGCGCCUCACAGUGUGCCAAGUACUUUUUGUGCUUUUUCAACUUUGUAUUUUUCGUCGCUGGCGGAGCAGCAUUGACCGUUGGUAUCUGGUUGUUUGCCGACAGGAGCUCCUUCACGAACCUCAUCGCAAAGCUCGAUCAGUCCGAUAUUCUGACUAAAACGGAUACCGAUGUUAUAAGAAUGAUGUCCUAUAUCCUAAUCAUUGCCGGUGCCCUUACGUUCAUUGUUAGCUUUUUAGGAUAUUGCGGUGCAAUGUUCGAAUCUAGAUGUCUCCUCUGUGUCUAUGGCGUCCUUCUUUUAUUGGUUUUGGUCCUGGAAUGUGUGGUGGUUGGCCUUGCGUUUGGACUAAAAGGAGACGCGGAAAAGGGUACACAAAGUUUCUUGAAGUCGACAAUCAAGUAUUACGCAGCAAGCGUGGAUCAGACCGAAACCGUGACAGUUGCGUGGGAUGGUAUUAUGAGCCAGCUUCAUUGUUGCGGCGUUGAAAGUUAUUUGGAUUUUCACGAAAGUACAAAUUGGACUACAACCAACAAAGUCGUACCGGAAUCUUGUUGCAUAAAACAAAAUGGUGAAUUGCAGGAUCGCUCGUGUCCUCUCAAUCCUACGUCCACGAACUCUUAUUAUCAGAAGGGUUGUUACAAAGCGAUACUAACGACGGUAGAAGAAAAUGCGGCAAUAGUUAUAGGAGUAGCAGCUGGUUUAGCCCUGAUCGAAGUCCUGGUUAUUAUAAUGGCCUUAUACCUGGCAUGUGUCUACUGGCGUCCGCAACAUGCUUGCGUAGAUGUGUCAUCGAGACAAGCCUGGUGAGAGAAGUGGUGAGAUGGGGAUGUGAUGGUUUGGUGGUGAAAUUUGGUUUCAAUGUUAACUUGUUGGUGCUGCUGCUGACGAGGCAUUAAGGGCAUGGAACUGUUGAGUAGUGCCUCCUAGCAAACGCACGUUGAG